rnacentral:lncRNA from 1 species
AGCCCUUGGAGUCUGGGCCCGAUCUGCUUUGGGCUCCUGGCACACUCUUUCCCACAUUUGGCUUACCAGCUCUGUGCAUUUUUUCCUGUGUGAGGCAGCUGCAUCAUGAUGUGUUGGAUGAAUAAGUGGGCAAUGAGGGAGAAGAAAGCACGAUACAGCAUUGGCUGAGUGAACUGCACAGGACUGGAUGGACUGGUCUGCACAAAUAAAGAACUGAUUUCAAACUGCCCA